GACGUGCGGACGCGUGCUGGCUCAAAAACUUAGGCAACCGUCCGCUUUUGGUGCUGUCAAAGGUUUUACCACAAACCAUCAGUUUGGAUAAAAAGGCGCCAGACAAUUAACAUCCCAUGCCCCGACUUACCAUUGUGUAUGAAAUAUCUUCCCAAUCACCACCCUGCAUCAUUCAAAACAGAUUGUCAUAGGGAUAAGGAUAGGCAGCUUAGACGUCAUCAAGAACUCUAAAAAGAAGUAUAGGAUGAUAUGCUUUCAUUGAGGAUUGACUUGCCUUGAUGAAUUGCAGUGACAAGGUUGGCCAUAGCCCAGUGGUGACGCUUUAAGGCCAGCUACAUUUUCCGAAGUCCUGCUUGCCACAUCACAGUAGUCUUUAAGGAAUGUUCUACCUAAUAUGGCAAAUGUUUGACUUUAAUUAGAAAGCUAAGCUAACUCUGUAGAAAUGCAUUACCAUUUGCAACAUCUCUGUUGACAAUGGAGUAUCCUUGCACCAUCAUGCAAUAAGAAGCUACAUGGAAGUUGCCACAAAUCUUGGAUGGCAAAGUAUAUAAUUACAUCAAUAUUUAUGGGAUUUUAGCGUACCUUUUGCCUGUCAAGCAGUUCCUAUUGCAUAGAUGUUCGGGAAUAACCACUGCUGUACGAACGUUGUGCUACAACUUGAAUAUGGUUCGUUGUUGUAUUUGUUGAGGGCUCCUAAUCGCAAAACUGAC